GGGAGGGGAUAAGAGAGGUCUGGGGGAGCCAGGCUCAGGCUUGGGGUCUCAGAAGGCAGCGCUCUCAGGGCACCUCCACCAUGGCCUGGGCUCUGCUCCUCCUCAGCCUCCUCUCUCAGGGCACAGGGUCCUGGGCCCAGGCUCCCCUCACUCAGCCGCCCUCAGUGUCUGGGACUCCAGGGACGUCAGUCACCAUCUCCUGUGCUGGAAGCAGCAAUGACAUUGGGAGGUAUAAUGAUGUCUCCUGGUACCAACAGCGCCCGGGCACAGCCCCUAAACUCCUGAUUUAUGAUGUCAGCAGUCGGCCCUCGGGGAUCCCUGAGCGCUUCUCUGGCUCCAAGUCUGGCAACACGGCCACCCUGACCAUCGCUGGGCUGCAGGCCGAGGACGAGGCCGAUUAUCACUGUUGCUCAUAUACAAGUGGUAGCACUCUCCACAGUGGUGCAGGGACCCAGCUGACCGUCCUAGGUCAGCCCAAGUCUGCACCCUCCGUGUCUCUGUUCCCGCCAUCCGCUGAGGAGCUCAACAGCAACAAGGCCACACUGGUGUGUCUCAUGAGUGACUUCUACCCGGGCAGCGUGACGGUGGCCUGGAAGGCAAAUGGCACCCCCGUCACCCAGGGCGUGGAGACCACCAAGCCCUCCAAGCAGAGCAACAACAAGUACGCGGCCAGCAGCUACCUGAGCGUGUCCAGCCAAGACUGGAAGUCCGCCAGCGCCUACAGCUGCCAGGUCACGCACGACGGGAAGACCGUGGAGAAGACAGUGGCCCCCUCAGAGUGUUCCUAGGACCUGAGUCCCCACUUCUGGGGACACUUCUCAGUCAGACGCUCCCUUCCCCGCACCCCACUCUCCCCCUGCAGCUCCUGCCCUGGUCGCUCAGACUGA